UAAAAAAAAAUAGAAUUAACUUUGAAAACCUAAUUUCUAAUUCAUCUCUUCUCUCCCUCUCGGUCUUCUCACUCCCCGCGCCGCACCUCCAUCUCUGCCAUCCCUAGACUCACUCCCAUCUCCCAUCUCCCUCAGUCGGCGUGCCUCACCUCCAUCGCCGGUCGUCUCGUCUGCAAUCUCUCUCUGUUUUUCUCCGCUCGUCGCCCCCUCCGGGGAGGCCCACGCCGCUCGCCUCGAAAUCUCUACAGCAAUAGCCUGCACCGUGCACCGCCUCGCUGUGCAGCCUAUCAGUUUUCGUCGUCCUGCUUCCUCCGGCGACUCUUUAGCAGCUCUGCCGACACCUCCCCAACCCAACGCCUAAUAGCAGGUUCUCGAACAUAGAAUUUGUGGGGGAUAAAAAAGGAGCACUGGUGGCGUGAAACCAUGUUGUUUUUGGAGACGAGCUGAGCUGGUAGCGUGAGAAUAGGAAGAAAUAUUAUACAAGUCUAUACCGAGAGAGAUGGCAGACGAGCUGAGCUGAGGGGAGACGAGCGGCGGAAAACAGAGAGAGAUUGCACACUAGAUCCAUGGAUCUGGACCCGCGGAUCCGUGGAUCUGGAUCCAAAAUUUUCAGAUCCGCGGAUCUGGAUCCGGAUCUGGAUCUGGUAUAUGAAAACGGAUCUGGAUUUGGUAUUGGCCAGACCCGGUCCAGAUCCGGUCCGUUGCCAUCC